GUGGGACAUCUUCCAUGGAACU
rnacentral:miRNA from 1 species